GGAUUGGCUCGCAUACGCGAGCCA
rnacentral:sRNA from 1 species